ensembl:lncRNA
CUGUGCAAAUGCUUCUGGUUCUGCCACAUACCAUAGUCUCUACUUUUGUGGCUAGGCUUUUAAAUUCCGGAGUUUGAGGGUCUUUCAGUGCUGGAACAAACACCUCUAUAAUGACAAUCUGUAUGGCAACAGUUGGCUGAGGACGUGCUGGUGCUGCUGUUGUGGUUGCUGCUGUUGUUAUUGUGGUUGUUGUUGCUGUUGUUUUAGGAUUGGCAGUAGAUGUUGUUGUUGUUGUUGUUGUUUUUGUUGUUGUUGUUGUUGUUGUUGUGGUUGUGGGUGUUGUUGUUACAGUUGUAUUAGGAUUGGCAGUAGAUGUUGUGGUUGUUGGUGAUGCUGUUGUAUUAGGAUUGACAGUAGAUGUUGUGGUUGCUGUUGAUGCUGUUGUAUUAAGAUUGGCAGUAGAUGUUGUGGUUGCUGAUGUUGUGGUUGCUGUUGAUGCUGUUGUAUUAGGAUUGACAGUAGAUGUUGUGGUUGCUGUUGAUGCUGUUGUAUUCGGAUUGACAUUAGAUGUUGUGGUGGUGGUUGUUGUUGUUGUGUUGUAAUAGGAUUGGCAGUAGAUGUUGUGGUUGCUAGUGAUGCUGUUGUAUUAGGAUUGACAGUAGAUGUUGUGGUUGCUGGUGAUGCUGUUGUAUUAGGAUUGGCAGUAGAUGUUGUGGUUGUUGUUGUUGCUGCUGCUGUUGUUGUGUUAGGUGUGGUUGUAGUUGUAAUUGUAGUGGAACUGGUUGUAGUGGCUUUGGUAGUUGUGGUGAAGGGCUUCCAUACUGUUGUGUGGGUUUGGUUAUUUUGUAGAAUAUGAAAAAUAAAAAUAAAAGUUGAGAAAAAUACCUUCAGCAAGAUGCAGCAGUGCAACCGCUUUAGUUAAAUAAAAACACAGAACACAUUGUAAAAUCUUUUGUAUUAUAUACUGAUGAUGUUCUUUGUUUGACUUACUUGUUACACUGGUGAUACUGAGAGUGGCAUUAGCUUUCAUAAUAGUGUUUUCUAUCUCAACAUCACUGGGUAAGGUUCCAAAUGUCACAUUCAUA